rnacentral:rRNA from 1 species
GAGUUUGAUCCUGGCUCAGGAUGAACGCUGGCGGGAUGCCUAACACAUGCAAGUCGAGCGGUAACACUUCGGGUGACGAGUGGCGAACGGCUGAGUAACACGUUGGUACUCACCCCAAACUCAGGGAUAAGCCUUGGAAACGAGGUCUAAUACCGGAUAUCUCAGCAAUGAGAAAGAUUUAUCGGUUUGGGAGAGGCCUGCGACGUAUCACGCUUGUUGGUAAGGUAAAAGCUUACCAAGGCUAUGACGCGUACCUGGUGUGAGAGCACGACCAGGCAGAGUGGGACUGAGACACGGCCCACACUCCUACGGGAGGCAGCAGUGAGGAAUUUUCCACAAUGGGCGAAAGCCUGAUGGAGCAAUCCCGCGUGCAGGAUGACACCUUUCGGGGCGUAAACUGCUUUUCUGAGGGAAGAAAUUUUGACGGUACCUCAGGAAUAAAGGGCGGCUAACUACGUGCCAGCAGCCGCGGUAAUACGUAGGCCCUAAGCGUUAUCCGGAAUCACUGGGCGUAAAGCGAUCGAAGGUGGACUAGUAAGUGAGGUGUUAAAUACCUGCGGCUCAACCGAGGUGCUGCACUUCAAACUGCUAGACUAGAGGGAUGCAGAGGAAACUGGAAUUUCUGUUGUAGGGGUAAAAUCCGUAGAUAACAGAAGGAACACCAAAAGUGAAGGCAGGUUUCUGGGCAUUUCCUGACACUGCACGAUCGAAAGCGUGGGGAGCGAAAGGGAUUAGAUACCCCUGUAGUCCACGCCGUAAACGAUGAAUACUCGGUGUAGGUGGGAAUCAGUCCCCAUCUGUGCCCAAGCUAACGCGUUAAGUAUUCCGCCUGGGGAGUACGGUCGCAAGCCUAAAACUCAAAGGAAUAGACGGGGAUCCACACAAGCGGUGGAGCAUCUGGUUUAAUUCGAUAAUAAGCGGGGAACCUUACCAGGACUUGACAUCCCGAGAGCUCUCUAGAGAUAGAGAGGUGCCUUUCUAAGGAACUCGGUGACAGGUGCUGCAUGGUUGUCGUCAGCUCGUGCCUUGAGGUGUGCGGUUAAGUCCGUGAACGAGCGCAACCCUCGUCGUACGUUGCAUUUUUCGUGCGAGACUGCCCGUUUUACGCGGGAGGAAGGUGAGGAUGACGUCAAAUCAGCAUGGCCCUUAUGUCCUGGGCGACACAGGUGCUACAAUGGCCGGUACAAAGGGCAGCCAACCCGUAAGGGGGAGCCAAUCCCAAAAAACCGGUCUCAGUUCGGAUUGAGGUCUGCAACUCGACCUCAUGAAGCUGGAAUCGCUAGUAACCGUGAAUCAGCCACGUCACGGUGAAUAUGUUCCUGGAUCUUGUACUCACCGCCCGUCAAGUCACGAAAGGUAGGGGUGCCCAAAGUCGUGUUAUUCUUUCGGGAAGCAUGCCUAAGGCAAAACUACUGAUUGGGACUAAGUCGU